ACAUAUGUGCUCGCCUUCACACUCUUCAUCCACUCAACCCCUGUGCACUUUAUCAGAGUUAGUAAUAGUAUUGUGGUGGCGGCCAUUUGUUGUUAUUCAUUGUUAGAAGCGGGGGUAACCCUGUCUGGCAAUAGUAAUGAUAAUAAUCUUGGUUCUACUACUACUACUACUACUAUGAACACUUUGACUUUUAUUUAUACAAACACUUUGCUUGUUCUUGUGAAUGUGUAAUGCUCCUUGUGAGCGAAAUACAAAUAUACAACUUUCAACAACGGAUCUCUUGGCUCUCGCAUCGAUGAAGAACGCAGCGAAAUGCGAUAAGUAAUGUGAAUUGCAGAAUUCAGUGAAUCAUCGAAUCUUUGAACGCACCUUGCGCCCCUUGGUAUUCCGAGGGGCAUGCCUGUUUGAGUGUCAUGUAAUUCUCAAUCCUCUUCUUCUUAACUGAAGAAAGAGGCUUGGACUUGGAGGUAUACACAAGCUGGUACUGUUUGGUAUCGGCUCCUCUCAAAUACAUUAGCUGGACUGUAGUUCGCAUUGUUUGGUGUAAUAGUUCUAUCUUAUUUCACUACAGUGCUUACUUAGACGGGUCUGCUUCCAAUAGUCCGCCUAUGUGU
rnacentral:misc_RNA from 1 species